GACGAACGCUGGCGGCGUGCCUAACACAUGCAAGUCAAAGGAAAGCAGCUUCGGCUGUAAGUACUUGGCGCAAGGGUGAGUAAUGUAUAGGUAAUCUGCCCUUUGGACUGGGAUAACCUCGAGAAAUCGAGGACAAUACCAGAUGAUGCAGCGGAACCGCAUGGUUAUGUUGUUAAAGAUUUAUCGCCAAAGGAUGAACCUAUAUCCCAUCAGGUAGUUGGUAAGGUAACGGCUUACCAAGCCUACGACGGGUAGCUGGUCUGAGAGGAUGAUCAGCCACAUUGGAACUGAGACACGGUCCAGACUCCUACGGGAGGCAGCAGUGAGGAAUAUUGCGCAAUGGGCGAAAGCCUGACGCAGCAACGCCGCGUGGAUGAUGAAGUUCUUCGGAAUGUAAAGUCCUUUUGUGGAGGAAGAAUAUCCCGAUUUAUCGGGACUGACGGUACUCCGCGAAUAAGCCACGGCUAACUCUGUGC
rnacentral:rRNA from 1 species